AAAAGGACAAACCCUGGGUUUCCGUGUAUAAUGUUUGACUAUCGUCUUGUAUGAAAUUUUUUUAUAAUUAGUAUUUUUAUUGUUGUUAGAUGAUAAAAUAUGAUUAAUACUUUAUGCGUAACUUAUCUUUUUAAAUUUUUUCAUAAUUUUUUUAAAUAAGACGGACGGUCAAACGUUAGACACGAAAACUUAGGAUUUAUC
rnacentral:pre_miRNA from 1 species